UUUAUUUAUUUAUAGUGCUUCAGAAGACACGUUACAGAAGAGUUUUUGGGUGCUUUCGGCAGGCCUUGUAGCGCCCCGCCCUGGGGCGGCCUGCCGAGGCAACACAUAUAGUUAAGUCCACAGUGGUUUGGAGUUUUGCAACUCAGUAAUGAUCCCUCCGCUGGUUCACCAACGGAGA
rnacentral:misc_RNA from 1 species